AGCUUUGCUAUACCUACUAAAAAGUCACAAAGCCACAGACCUCUGAUCCAUAAAUCUCUAAAGAGCUCGUUACAAUUAAAUAUACCGAUCAUGACUCUCUCCUACUUAUCCAUCCCCAAACACCACCUCCAACUACCAUCGUCUGAUACAUCAGUUCCAAAGAGAAUAACGUUCAAGUAAAUAUUUACUUUUUACUCAGAAACAAUCAGUCGCAUAGACGCUAUAUUGUAUAAUGGGUUAAGCCGCAGAGCACACACAAUUCCCAUCAAAAUUUUUGUUGUCCGCGUCCGUCGUCGAUAUUAAUAAGUGUUCAGUAAUUUAUUGUUAUUAAAUUGAAAUUUUUAUGAUAUCGAUAUAAUCCAGCCAGUUUUAAGAGGUUAUAUCAGAAGAAGAUCAAAGAACUCAAGAAACGGGGAAAGUGAAAAAAAAAACGUCAUCACAAGUUUACAGCCGUCAACGACUUUGCUGCCGGCUUAAACGAGUUGUCUCCAAAGUAAUAAAAACCACCUCCAGUUGAGCCAUCAACUUUAGUGUGAAGCUUCGUUCCUAACAGUUAAGUCAAGAACUUUUUCGUUCUGAAAAGUUUUUUAAG